rnacentral:rRNA from 1 species
GAUGAACGCUAGCUACAGGCUUAACACAUGCAAGUCGAGGGGAAACGAUGAGAGAGCUUGCUCUCUUAGUCGUCGACCGGCGCACGGGUGAGUAACGCGUAUCCAACCUGCCUCUGACCAAGGGAUAACCCGUCGAAAGUCGGACUAAUACCUUAUGCAGUCGUCGGAAGUCAUCUGAUGACGACGAAAGAUUUCAUCGGUGAGAGAUGGGGAUGCGUCUGAUUAGCUUGUUGGCGGGGUAACGGCCCACCAAGGCGACGAUCAGUAGGGGUUCUGAGAGGAAGGUCCCCCACAUUGGAACUGAGACACGGUCCAAACUCCUACGGGAGGCAGCAGUGAGGAAUAUCGGUCAAUGGGCGUAAGCCUGAACCAGCCAAGUAGCGUGCAGGAUGACGGCCCUAUGGGUUGUAAACUGCUUUUAUGCGGGGAUAAAGUGAGGGACGUGUCCUUCAUUGCAGGUACCGCAUGAAUAAGGACCGGCUAAUUCCG